UUUUUUAAUUUUGUAGAAUGGUUCAAGUGAGAAAAGGGAAGUGAGGCAAUUCCAGUUCACUGCCUGGCCUGACCAUGGUGUCCCAGAACACCCAACACCGUUCUUAGCUUUCCUGCGACGAGUCAAGACCUGCAACCCACCUGAUGCUGGACCUAUGGUUGUACAUUGCAGUGCUGGAGUCGGCAGGACUGGCUGUUUCAUUGUGAUAGAUGCCAUGUUAGAGAGAAUAAAGCAUGAAAAGACUGUAGAUAUUUAUGGCCACGUAACUCUAAUGAGAGCACAGAGGAAUUACAUGGUUCAAACUGAGGACCAAUACAUCUUUAUCCAUGAUGCACUGCUGGAAGCAGUGACAUGUGGAAAUACCGAAGUGCCAGCCAGAAACCUGUAUGCAUAUAUCCAGAAGCUGACACAGAUAGAAACAGGCGAGAAUGUCACAGGAAUGGAACUGGAAUUUAAGCGUCUUGCUAGCUCUAAGGCUCACACUUCAAGAUUCAUCAGUGCCAAUCUUCCAUGUAAUAAAUUCAAAAAUCGCCUUGUCAAUAUUAUGCCAUAUGAGUCUACAAGGGUAUGCUUGCAGCCAAUCCGAGGAGUAGAAGGCUCUGAUUAUAUUAAUGCCAGUUUCAUUGAUGGAUACAGACAACAAAAAGCUUACAUAGCUACACAGGGUCCUUUAGCAGAAACAACUGAAGACUUCUGGAGAAUGCUCUGGGAGCAUAAUUCUACAAUUGUGGUCAUGCUCACUAAGCUACGAGAAAUGGGCAGAGAAAAAUGCCACCAGUACUGGCCUGCAGAGCGCUCAGCCAGGUAUCAGUAUUUUGUGGUAGAUCCAAUGGCAGAAUACAACAUGCCACAGUAUAUUCUGCGGGAAUUCAAGGUUACAGAUGCAAGGGAUGGCCAGUCCCGAACAGUGAGGCAGUUCCAGUUCACUGACUGGCCAGAACAAGGAGUGCCAAAGUCUGGAGAAGGAUUUAUUGACUUCAUAGGCCAAGUGCAUAAAACAAAAGAGCAGUUUGGUCAGGAUGGACCAAUUUCUGUUCACUGCAGUGCGGGUGUUGGAAGGACUGGAGUAUUCAUAACCCUGAGCAUUGUGUUAGAAAGAAUGAGAUAUGAAGGUGUUGUAGAUAUCUUCCAGACUGUCAAAAUGUUAAGGACACAGCGGCCAGCCAUGGUACAGACAGAGGAUCAAUACCAGUUCUGCUAUCGAGCCGCACUGGAAUAUCUGGGCAGCUUUGAUCACUAUGCAACAUAAAAACCCAUCAUGGAUUUUUAUUGCAGGCCCUUUCAGAUCCAGAGAGCCGCUUCUGAGCCAUACGAUGUGCUUUAGAAGUACUUCUUAACUCUUAGCUAAGGAGCGAUUAUUGGGGAUAUAUAAAAUAAAAAACAA